UACGAAGGGGGCUAGCGUUGUUCGGAAUUACUGGGCGUAAAGCGCACGUAGGCGGAUGUCUAAGUCGGGGGUGAAAGCCUUGGGCUCAACCCAAGAAUUGCCUUCGAUACUGGAUAUCUUGAGACCGGGAGAGGUGAGUGGAAUUCCGAGUGUAGAGGUGAAAUUCGUAGAUAUUCGGAAGAACACCAGUGGCGAAGGCGGCUCACUGGCCCGGUUCUGACGCUGAGGUGCGAAAGCCAGAGGAGCAAACGGG
rnacentral:rRNA from 1 species